CGCGGCCUAUCAGCUUGUUGGUGGGGUGAUGGCCUACCAAGGCGACGACGGGUAGCCGGCCUGAGAGGGUGUCCGGCCACACUGGGACUGAGAUACGGCCCAGACUCCUACGGGAGGCAGCAGUGGGGAAUAUUGCACAAUGGGCGCAAGCCUGAUGCAGCGACGCCGCGUGGGGGAUGACGGCCUUCGGGUUGUAAACCUCUUUCACCAUCGACGAAGGUCCGGGUUUUCUCGGAUUGACGGUAGGUGGAGAAGAAGCACCGGCCAACUACGUGCCAGCAGCCGCGGUAAUACGUAGGGUGCGAGCGUUGUCCGGAAUUACUGGGCGUAAAGAGCUCGUAGGUGGUUUGUCGCGUUGUUCGUGAAAUCUCACGGCUUAACUGUGAGCGUGCGGGCGAUACGGGCAGACUAGAGUACUGCAGGGGAGACUGGAAUUCCUGGUGUAGCGGUGGAAUGCGCAGAUAUCAGGAGGAACACCGGUGGCGAAGGCGGGUCUCUGGGCAGUAACUGUCGCUGAGGAGCGAAAGCGUGGGGAGCGAACAGGAUUAGAUACCCUGGUAGUCCACGCCGUAAACGGUGGGUACUAGGUGUGGGUUUCCUUCCUUGGGAUCCGUGCCGUAGCUAACGCAUUAAGUACCCCGCCUGGGGAGUACGG
rnacentral:rRNA from 1 species